rnacentral:lncRNA from 10 species
AACAAAGGAACAUUCUUCCAGCUGAACUGCACACUAGCAGGGACUUCACCUACUUCAUCUGCAGUUCUCACAACAGCCAUGCAACAUUUCUCAUCCUCCUUAUUCAGAUAAAGAAGGCAGCGGGUUAAGGGGACGGAAGAAAAUGACGGGGCAAAAAGCACCUACUUGCUGUAUUUGAAGAAGGUUACCAGAUACUUCCACCUUGCGACAUUGGCCAGAAAUACUGUUUAUGGAAACACCUCAUUGCAAGGGAGAUGUGGUCUUAAUGCUGGAUGGCCAUGUGCUUUGUUAAAAAUGAAGAACAUGAGAACAGCUGUCGGGACAGCUAGCAGUCUGCCACCAAGAUCUUGGAAUUUGACCCUUGCCCUCCCAACCCUACCUCAAACUUAGAACAUCUGCACCCACUUAAUGGACAUCUGUUACACACUUGAGCCAACGACCCUAAAGAAAGUUAAAACAGCAUUCAUCACAGUUUGAAAAUAAAGACAAAGGAAUAAAAGCCAGGGAUCCAUCUUUGUCCGGAUACACGCCCCGUGGCAGGUGCUGGCCAGAGAGGCAGAAUUCUUGAAGAUCAAAGUUCCUACCA